GGGAAUAUUGGACAAUGGGCGCAAGCCUGAUCCAGCCAUACCGCGUGGGUGAAGAAGGCCUUCGGGUUGUAAAGCCCUUUUGUUGGGGAAGAAAAGCAUUCGGUUAAUACCCGGGUGUUCUGACGGUACCCAAAGAAUAAGCACCGGCUAACUUCGUGCCAGCAGCCGCGGUAAUACGAAGGGUGCAAGCGUUACUCGGAAUUACUGGGCGUAAAGCGUGCGUAGGUGGUGGUUUAAGUCCGUUGUGAAAGCCCUGGGCUCAACCUGGGAAUUGCAGUGGAUACUGGGUCACUAGAGUGUGGUAGAGGAUAGUGGAAUUUCCGGUGUAGCAGUGAAAUGCGUAGAGAUCGGAAGGAACACCCGUGGCGAAGGCGACUAUCUGGGCCAACACUGACACUGAGGCACGAAAGCGUGGGGAGCAAACAGGAUUAGAUACCCUGGUAGUCCACGCCCUAAACGAUGCGAACUGGAUGUUGGGUGCACCUCCGCGCCCAGCGUCCCGGC
rnacentral:rRNA from 1 species